GAUGAACGCUGGCGGCGUGCCUAAUACAUGCAAGUCGAGCGAAUGGAUUAAGAGCUUGCUCUUAUGAAGUUCGCGGCGGACGGGUGAGUAACACGUGGGUAACCUGCCCAUAAGACUGGGAUAACUCCGGGAAACCGGGGCUAAUACCGGAUCACAUUUUGAACCGCAUGGUUCGAAAUUGAAAGGCGGCUUCGGCUGUCACUUAUGGAUGGACGCGCGUCGCAUUAGCUAGUUGGUGAGGUAACGGCUCACCAAGGCAACGAUGCGUAGCCGACCUGAGAGGGUGAUCGGCCACACUGGGACUGAGACACGGCCCAGACUCCUACGGGAGGCAGCAGUAGGGAAUCUUCCGCAAUGGACGAAAGUCUGACGGAGCAACGCCGCGUGAGUGAUGAAGGCUUUCGGGUCGUAAAACUCUGUUGUUAGGGAAGAACAAGUGCUAGUUGAAUAAGCUGGCACCUUGACGGUACCUAACCAGAAAGCCACGGCUAACUACGUGCCAGCCGCCGCGGUAA
rnacentral:rRNA from 1 species